rnacentral:rRNA from 1 species
CGCAUCUGUGCAUGCAGCAUAUCAAUAAGCGGAGGAAAAGAAACUAACAAGGAUUCCCCUAGUAACGGCGAGUGAAGCGGGAAGAGCUCAAAUUUGAAAUCUUAAAGGGUUUCCCUUUACGAAUUGUAGUUUAAAGAAGUGUUUUCUGUUGAGGUUUUGGUAAAAGUUCUUUGGAAUAGGACAUCAUAGAGGGUGAGAAUCCCGUAUUUGACCUUUACUUUCAACUUUGUGAUACACUUUCAAAGAGUCGGAUUGUUUGGGAAUGCAGUCCAAAAUGGGUGGUAAAUUUCAUCUAAAGCUAAAUAUUGGCGAGAGACCGAUAGCGAACAAGUACCGUGAGGGAAAGAUGAAAAGAACUUUGAAAAGAGAGUUAAACAGUACGUGAAAUUGUCAAAAGGGAAGCGUUUGACACCAGUGUUGUUUUUCUGAAAAUCAAUUAAAGAACUGUUUAUGCUAAGUUGUUUAGACUUUAUCAGCUAACUGUUUAGUUUUGAGCUUUUCUUUAAUGCACUUUUCAGUUAACAAGUCAACAUCAAUUUCUUUUGCUGUAAAAAAGCUUGAGGAAGAGUGGCUUGAGAUUCGUCUUAAGUGUUUAUAGCCUCUUGCCUAUGCAGUCGGAGAGAUUGAGGUCUGCAGCGUAGAUCCUUCGGGGCUAAAUGCAUUUGUGCUAAGUUAUAACAUUUUAUAGACAACUUGUUGACUAUGAUUUGUCUUGUAGCUUACUCGCUUAUGUUAUUUUACCUACGCUUAGGAUGUUGACAGCAGUAUAGACUGU